GAGGUGCGGUCCGCCCGGCUUGGCCUCCCCCCGGGAAUUGGAACCGCGUCCCUCUGGGCCCGGCCUGCCUGGCCCUGGUUCCUUCUGCGCGGACCAGCCAGAAGUGUUUGCGCUGGCACAGCACCGCUGCGGAAGGGAUGCCCUCAGGCAGCGCUCAGUCUAGUGCGGGAGACCCACCAAGGACUCUGUCAUUCAGUACGCUAAGGGCUCCUAAGAGGGUGGUACGGUCUCUGCUGAGCGCUUCUUAGGCGCCAAGCCUUGCCUUGAUAUACACUGUUUUUAAUCCCCACAGUCUGUUAGACAUGCGAAUUUGGGUAUUUCCCCAGGUUACAAGUGAUAUAUUGACGCUUAAGAGGUGAGGAUCAAGCCUGCAGUCUCUCUUCAAGCAAAGGAAGUCCUCCACAGCUUGGCUGCUUCUGAAGUCCAUGGGCCACUCUACCCCUCUAUAACAUAACACAGCUGCAUGGACUGCCUCAGGGUCCACGAGGGCCUCUGGGGAUUGCUCCCUUGGCCUGGUAAAUCGUCUCUUCCUGGCCUGGUCUUGGAAAUGUCUUGAAGAAGGUUCUGAAGAUUUCAAUUUGGUAACAGAGAAAUGAUACCAGCCCACAGCACCUGCUUCAUCACAUCACCUGUUGUGCUUCUGACAGUGUCUCUUCCCUGUCUGUCUCCUGUACUGAAACUGAGCUUAUUACCCUGCUGGCUUGAGCCUGGUUCUUUCCAAAUGUACAAAGAAUGUAAUCACAAAAUUUCUCUAGGGAAAUUCUUGUUCCCACGGUACUGAACCAUAGUUUCCAAACUGUGCAUUAAGGCACCUUAGGGUACCAAAGCAAAGCAAUAGGGAGCACAGUAGGAUAUUUAAACUUUGAGAGAUACUCAGCAUCUGUUGGCUACCAAGAGAACUACUAGCUCAAGGUGGAUCGGAGUUUCAUCAUUAGAUCGCACUACAUUCCUCUGGUUAUGGCAUCUUUGAGAAGCUGUCUUUUUAGUGGUUGCUGUGAUACGAAGAAAUGAAAAUCAAUGUGGAACAGGAAAUGAGGGUGGCAGUGUCCAAUCUGAUUAGAAAAGCUGAUAAGUUUUAUAGCGCUCAACAAGCACAAAGAUUCCAUUAGUUAUUGUGAUUAUUUAAGAAUGAACAAAAAGUUUCUUCUAACUUGUAUGUAUUAUUGUUUUUAAAUGACUUAAGUUGGUAGGACCUAGAUUCUUAAAGAGAUUUGGGCUUAACUAACAAACUGAAAUGUUAGGUAUUUCUUUUGGCUUGGGGGGUGUUCCACAAAAAACUACAAGACACUAAUGGUUCAGCGUGAGCUGAGAAAGUCUGGUCUAAGAAAUCCUCUAAACCAGGGCCAAUCAAGAAACUGCAGGUUGUGAAAUCAAUUUAGUGGGUUAUAAUCAACAUUUUUUCUCCUUAAUAAAAUAGAAUGGCAAAUAGAACACACUGAAUGUAGCAAGGGUAAAUACUGUAUAAAACUUAUGUUCAUUAUAUACAUACAAAUUAGCAUGGGUCUCAUGGAUCACAGUGUAAAAUGUAUAUUUCUUAUUUGGAUUCCAAUUUUGAAAGUUUGAAAAAGACACUAAGACUCCAACCUCCUUAUUUUAGAGAUGAGAAAACAGCCUAAAGAGUGAAAGCUGAUUACUGCAAAUCACAGUCACUGGAGCUGUGCUCUGCACUUGGCCCUGCCAGCCGGGGUGGCCACUAUCCACAGGACCCUCCUAGGCAGGCCUGCCUAUUCCACCCAGCAGAGGUGUGGUUAAUCAGUCACAGAGCCACAGAGGCAAGAGAGAUAUCCUCACUUUGAUCCCGAGACCCAUUUGCACCCCACAAAUGUCACCAGCCACACCUAGAACAAAAUGGUUUUAAUCAAUUGCGUCACCCUCACUCUUCUGGGAGCGGAGCAACAAAAAGGCUCGGCUCCUGCCCCCAGAGGACAGUAAGGCUUAUGUGUCUCUCCACACUGCAGGGCCCAGGCUGGGCUGGCAGAGGGCAGGAGGCAGGGAGAGAGGGUGGGAGGCAGGGAGAGAGGGAGUGGCAGGUGGCUCGAACAGAGGAAAGCAAAGGGGCCCCUGCUGGUCCUUGGGCCCCAGGGCCCAGCUCCAGUGCUCUCGCUCUCCCCUCCCGGCUGGAGAAAGGUCGUGGAGAAGAUACAGGGGAGCAAGUCCCAGCAGCAGGAGAAGCAGCAGCAGCUGUUUCCUUCACCAAUAAAUAUACUUCAUUACCAAGCUAGAAAGAGGGGUGGGGAGAGGGAUGGGGUAGGGAGGAAGGGGGAGAGGCUGCCACCUGUGUUGCUGGGAUUAAAGCAAUGACGAGCUGGGGCCAGACCCCCCACCACUAUCUCUGCCACCCCCUCACUCCUCAUCUUCUUAAAACUGUGAAAAAGCUUUUACACGGCCCUGCUGUCUCCAGGGCUUCUCUGAAGCCUGACUGAGAGGAGGCACCUGGCAGAGAAAGGGGGGGAGGGAGGAAGGGAGGGAAGGAGGCCGCUUCUCCCCAGAGGCUGCAGCUGGAGGGCUGGAACCAAGUGAGUGCUGAGGGGACUGGGGAGGGAGAGGGGAGGAAGGAUGAACCAACUACCAGGAGCAGCUCUGGAGUUGAGAGCCAAGGGGGCAAAGGGGGAGGCUUGGUGAAUGGUGGGGUGACUGCUGCAUCCAGUGUAAAGCUCACGCUGCUGAGGAGGGAGGGGGCUGAGUUAGGGACCUUCCCAUCGAGCGGCUCAGGAGACCCACCCCCCUUCCCCCAGAGCAGCAGGGGCCAGAGAAAAGCCAUCACUUCUUUGGUCUUUGUGGCGGCUCAGCAUGUGGGGUGGGAGGGAGGGCAGAGGGCCUGGAAGGCCCCUAGCAGGGAGUGCCACCUCAGCGAGUAGGCCUGGCUGGGAGCUCUGGCAGAAAGGUCACAGUGAGGCCGAAGAGCGCCCAAGGGAGGGUGGUCCUCCAGAGUCUGGGAGGGCUGGACAGAUAGGUGGGGUAUGGUGCGGUGCCCCACCCUCUGCCAGGGCCCUUGGGAAAGGUGGAGCCC